rnacentral:rRNA from 1 species
AUUGAACGCUGGCGGCAGGCUUAACACAUGCAAGUCGAGCGGGGUGAUGGUGCUUGCACUAUCACUUAGCGGCGGACGGGUGCGUAAUGCUUAGGAAUCUGCCUAUUAGUGGGGGACAACAUCUCGACAGGGAUGCUAAUACCGCAUACGUCCUACGGGAGAAAGCAGGGGCUCACUUGUGACCUUGCGCUAAUAGAUGAGCCUCAGUCGGAUUAGCUAGUUGGUGGGGUAAAGGCCUACCAAGGCGACGAUCUGUAGCGGGUCUGAGAGGAUGAUCCGCAACACUGGGACUGCGACACGGACCAGACUCCUACGUGAGUCAGCAGUGGGGAAUAUUGGACAAUGGGGGGAACCCUGAUCCAGCCGUGCCGCGUGUGUGAAGAAGGCCUUAUGGUUGUAAAGCACUUUAAGCGAUGAUGAGGCUCUUUUGGUUAAUACCCAAGAUGAGUGGACGUUACUCGCAGAAUAAGCACCGGCUAACUCUGUGCCAGCCGCCGUAACAC